rnacentral:rRNA from 1 species
CUUGCACUGGUCAAUCUAGUGGCGAACGGGUGAGUAACACGUGGGUAACCUGCCCAUCAGAGGGGGAUAACAUCCGGAAACGGAUGCUAAAACCGCAUAGGUCUUCGAGCCGCAUGGCUUGAAGAGGAAAAGAGGCGCAAGCUUCUGCUGAUGGAUGGACCCGCGGUGCAUUAGCUAGUUGGUGAGGUAACGGCUCACCAAGGCCGUGAUGCAUAGCCGACCUGAGAGGGUGAUCGGCCACAUUGGGACUGAGACACGGCCCAAACUCCUACGGGAGGCAGCAGUAGGGAAUCUUCCGCAAUGGACGCAAGUCUGACGGAGCAACGCCGCGUGAGUGAAGAAGGUUUUCGGAUCGUAAAACUCUGUUGUUAGAGAAGAACAAGUGCUAGAGUAACUGUUAGCGCCUUGACGGUAUCUAACCAGAAAGCCACGGCUAACUACGUGCCAGCAGCCGCGGUAAUACGUAGGUGGCAAGCGUUGUCCGGAUUUAUUGGGCGUAAAGCGAGCGCAGGCGGUUCCUUAAGUCUGAUGUGAAAGCCUCCGGCUCAACCGGGGAGGGUCAUUGGAAACUGGGGAACUUGAGUGCAGAAGAGGAGAGUGGAAUUCCAUGUGUAGCGGUGAAAUGCGUAGAUAUAUGGAGGAACACCAGUGGCGAAGGCGACUCUCUGGUCUGUAACUGACGCUGAGGCUCGAAAGCGUGGGUAGCAAACAGG